UUCAUUUAUUGGAAGGGAUGCGUAUCGGGACAGCUCUGAAAAGGAAGCGGUAAUGCGGGGCCCUGGCGUGCACCAUCACGGACAGGAGGGAGGAAGGAAGCAGUGGGGAGGUAGAAAGGCACUCGAAAGAUCAUCCUGUUCUGUCCUGUGUACUCAGAACCUGUCCUGGUCAGUUUCUUGUCUCUACCUGAAGGCUGAUGGUCUUUAAGUUCCAAUUUCCCUCUCCUGGUGGACUGUGUCCAGACAGCUUUCGCUCACAGAGCAGACGUUCUCCAGGCCCAAGGAUGGCAACAGGACCUCUUGUGGUUUCCCGACGCCCUGCCUAUACCUUUGAACAUAACCCCAUCGUCAACUCUUCUCGAAUUACCCAUCUCAGUGUCUCUUGCCUGCACCAUGACUGAUACAGCCGGCUGUAAACACAUCACUGACUCUACCUUGCCCAGAGGAGGAAGCAACAUCCCUCAGGAGGGGAGCAAGAUUCCACCCUUGCCACAUCUUGAGACACGCUUUCCGCACGCUGGCGGACGUGUGGUUUCCUGAACGCAAGGUGCUCUUUUUCUUCUUGGAGAUUUUGUAACUGAUGAUUUCUUUCCUGGCUUAGCUGCCUGGACAGUGUCUUUUCUUCCUUCAAGACUGUUCAGGGAUCACCUGUUGAUUUUUUCUGACUUUCCUAGGCAGGAUGGGCUGCUUCCUCUUCUAUGCUCCCUUACCACAUUAUACGCAUGCCCAUUAAAGCUCUUUUCGUGGCUGCGAGUUUUUGUUCCUAUGUCUGCUUUCCAACCAGUCUUGGAAUCCUCUGAGUGUAUUCUGUUUUCCUUUGUUCUCCGAGUACCUGCUGUUGUCCCUGGUGGGCUUCAUAAACAUGUUUUGAAUGAC